UUAGAAAGACGGGAAUUGAACCCGCACUAAAAAACUCAAAAUCUUCUGCACGCCCAUUAUACUACUUUCUA
rnacentral:tRNA from 1 species